rnacentral:rRNA from 1 species
GGAUCAUUACCGAGUUAGGGUCUUAUAGGCCCGACCUCCAACCCUUUGUUUACUACACCAUGUUGCUUUGGCGGGCCCGCCUUUUGGGGCCGCCGGGGGUUUACAAGCCCCUGGUCAGUGUUCGCCAGUAGCCUUAUUAAAUUCUUUUAUAAUUAUGUCGUCUGAGUAUAAAUAUAAAUCGUUAAAACUUUCAACAACGGAUCUCUUGGUUCUGGCAUCGAUGAAGAACGCAGCGAAAUGCGAUAAGUAAUGCGAAUUGCAGAAUUCAGUGAGUCAUCGAAUCUUUGAACGCAUAUUGCGCCCUUUGGUAUUCCGAAGGGCAUGCCUGUUCGAGCGUCAUUACAACCCUCAAGCUCUGCUUGGUAUUAGGCCUCACCCGUUAGGGCGGGCUGUAAAAUCAGUGGCGGUGCCAUUCGGCUUCAAGCGUAGUAAUUUUUCUCGCUUUGGAGUACCGGCUGUGUGCCUGCCAGCAACCCCAAUUUUUAUCAAAGGUUGACCUCGGAUCAGGUAGGGAUACCCGCUGAACUUAAGCAUAUCAAUAAGCGGAGGAAAAGAAACCAACAGGGAUUGCCUCAGUAACGGCGAGUGAAGCGGCAACAGCUCAAAUUUGAAAUCUGGCCUUCUGGUCCGAGUUGUAAUUUGUAGAGGAUGUUUCGAACGUGGUCCGGUCUAAGUUUCUUGGAACAGAACGUCAUAGAGGGUGAGAAUCCCGUAUGCGACUGGGUGCCUAAGUUCAUGUGAAACUCCUUCGACGAGUCGAGUUGUUUGGGAAUGCAGCUCAAAAUGGGUGGUAAAUUUCAUCUAAAGCUAAAUAUUGGCCAGAGACCGAUAGCGCACAAGUAGAGUGAUCGAAAGAUGAAAAGCACUUUGGAAAGAGAGUUAAACAGUACGUGAAAUUGUUGAAAGGGAAGCGCUUGCAACCAGACUUGCAUGCAGUUGAUCAUCCGGCGUUUUCACCGGUGCACUCGAUUGUAUUCAGGCCAGCAUCGGUUUUGGUGGUUAGAUAAAGGCCUUGGGAAUGUAGCUUCUUUCGGGGAGUGUUAUAGCCCUCGGUGCAAUGUAGCCUAC